AGCAUUAAAUCUAAACAGACUGUGAGUUACUGGCAGGCUGUUCUGGUUUUGUGCUGUUUGCACAUAGCACUUUUUCUAUUUGCAUCUGAGUGGGAAAGGGUUAUGCUAAACUGGUUAUUUGAAGUUUUGUGCAAUUCAGCUGCCUAUAAUGUAUAUAUGUCGUAAAUUAUGUAUAGAAGUUGUCAAACAUGUAAAAAAAUAAGUAAAAAAUUGGUAUGAGGGAACACAAAAUGGUAUCCUUAUUCAGCAAAAAACUGUAAUGUUAUAACAAAAUAUAAUUGAUGCUUGUUCAAUCAAAAGAGAGCAUUGUUGAGCAAUGAAGUCCUAACAUGAGCCCUGGUCAUAAUUGCAUGCAAGUAAAGGUUUCCAAUAAAGUCCUAACAUGAGCCCUGGUCAUAAUUGCAUGCAAGUAAAGGUUUCCAAUGAAGUCCUAACAUGAGCCCUGGUCAUAAUUGCAUGCACGUAAAGGUUUCCAAUGAAGUCCUAACAUGAGCCCUGGUCAUAAUUGCAUGCACGUAAAGGUUUCCAAUGAAGUCCUAACAUGAGCCCUGGUCAUAAUUGCAUGCACGUAAAGGUUUCCAAUGAAGUCCUAACAUGAGCCCUGGUCAUAAUUGCAUGCACGUAAAGGUUUCCAAUGAAGUCCUAACAUGAGCCCUGGUCAUAAUUGCAUGCACGUAAAGGUUUCCAAUGAAGUCCUAACAUGAGCCCUGGUCAUAAUUGCAUGCACGUAAAGGUUUCCAAUGAAGUCCUAACAUGAGCCCUGGUCAUAAUUGCAUGCACGUAAAGGUUUCCAAUGAAGUCCUAACAUGAGCCCUGGUCAUAAUUGCAUGCACGUAAAGGUUUCCAAUGAAGUCCUAACAUGAGCCCUGGUCAUAAUUGCAUGCACGUAAAGGUUUCCAAUGAAGUCCUAACAUGAGCCCUGGUCAUAAUUGCAUGCACGUAAAGGUUUCCAAUGAAGUCCUAACAUGAGCCCUGGUCAUAAUUGCAUGCACGUAAAGGUUUCCAAUGAAGUCCUAACAUGAGCCCUGGUCAUAAUUGCAUGCACGUAAAGGUUUCCAAUGAAGUCCUAACAUGAGCCCUGGUCAUAAUUGCAUGCACGUAAAGGUUUCCAAUGAAGUCCUAACAUGAGCCCUGGUCAUAAUUGCAUGCACGUAAAGGUUUCCAAUGAAGUCCUAACAUGAGCCCUGGUCAUAAUUGCAUGCACGUAAAGGUUUCCAAUGAAGUCCUAACAUGAGCCCUGGUCAUAAUUGCAUGCACGUAAAGGUUUCCAAUGAAGUCCUAACAUGAGCCCUGGUCAUAAUUGCAUGCACGUAAAGG